CAUUAAACCCAAAUGAAUUUCAAUUGACGCACACCUUCUUCCCGAUUUCCCCCAAAUCACACCGACACACACGACUCCUCCCAAACCCAAGGUGGCCGUCGUACUUACCAUCACCACCAGUGGCGCCGACAAAGGAACAUCUCAUCCUUCACAUUUACACCCUGGCAGCCACGAUUCGUCGGUGCUAAUUAAUCGGCUAUAAUGAGAGGAAGGAAUUUUGGGGUCUGUCACAGUUGCAAAAGCAAUGCGCACUACUUAGAACAAUGCCAGUUGAAAUGUUGGUGCCCUAGUUGUGACCAUGGAUAUCGAAAAUGUUUUGAGGUGGAACGGGAUACAGGUAACAAAUGCCGAUUGUUCUUUAACUGUAGUAAUGACCGUGGGUACUUCAAUUGGAUGAAAGAUGCAGCUUUAGGCGGGGAUUCAAGUUCCAUUAACGAUAUGGUCAAUGAGGCGCCCGACAAGGAAGACGAUGAGCUUCCAAGAUUAUUUGAUGGGCUAGCCAAAAUUAGCGAGAAACGCGGCGUCGACAUUUCGUUGCACUUGACAUUUAGCAAGGGAAAAUGAAUUGAGAAAUGUGAUGGGAAAGGAAAGAGCUCGGUUUGAAGGGGUGAUUUUAGUCAUGUCUUCGAUUGAAGUAGUAGUAUGAUCUCUUAGUUUUAUGCAUGUCUAAUCUGCAUUUAAAUGUGGUUUGUAAGAUAAAAAUGGAUGAGUUAGGAUCAUAGUUAGUAUACAUGGAUUGAAUUUCGUUUAGUAUGAUCACUACAAUUAAGCUUUACUUGGAUUGAUUUUAGAAAAUUGCACCACGGUUGACUUUGGGAUCC